UGUCCCUCAAUGGCUCAUGCAUUAAAGGCUGUGACUUAGGACGCCCUGUAACUUUAAAUGGUGGCAUCAGAAGUUAGAUAUUAGCAGAAGUGCCUUAAAGGGGAUAUGUAAUUCUAAAACCCUCCACUUUUUCUCUUUGAUUUCUAGAUGCCAUGAACUGAACAUACCUCUCUGCCACAUGUUUUUCCAAGGUGUAUUGCACCACCACAGCCCUAUAUCAACAGAGCCAAUUGAAUAUGGACUGAAAUCUUUGAUGCUAUCAACUGAUUAAUCACACAUAUAAUAAUCCUGGAAAUACUGCUCCUUGAAGAGAUACUUACUUCCUACAAUACCAAAUGACUGUCAUGGAAAUAUAUGCAAACCAAAAAAUCCAAAUCCUGUAUAGUGAACUAUGCCCUUUAUUCAGCUCACACAGGUUGAAAUAAUAUCUUCCUGCUUUUCCUACAAUCCAGGGCCAGCAAUUAGAGAAUUUCUACAUACCAAAGCCCUGGGCUUGUUUCACAUGGAACAAUCCUUCAUCCAGUGCCCCUGCCUCGUCUCAUCUUCACUUUCUCAAAAAAAUCACAGUAAAUUUUCUUAUCCAUGACUUUGUCAUCACUUAUUCUGCUACUUUACUAAGCCUGGUACUUUCUUGUGCAGUUCUCCAGAGAUUACAGUUCUCCUUUUUCUUUUGAAUACUAUUUAUUCAAUACCAUUAAUUUCCUUAACUACUGACCUCAUCAAAGCUGAAUAAAUUCUCCAUUUUAAAUACAUAAA